UACGUAGGGGGCAAGCGUUGUCCGGAUUUAUUGGGCGUAAAGAGCGUGUAGGCGGCCAGGUAGGUCUGCUGUGAAACUCGAGGCUUAACCUCGAGCUGUCGGCGGAAACCAUCUGGCUAGAGUCCGGAAGGGCAACUGGAAUUCUUGGUGUAGCGGUGAAAUGCGUAGAUAUCAAGAGGAACACCUGCGGCGAAGGCGGGUUGCUGGCCGACACGUGACGCUGAAGCGCGAAAGCCAGGGGAGCGAACGGG
rnacentral:rRNA from 1 species